rnacentral:rRNA from 1 species
UGGGCGUAAAGCGCGUGUAGGCGGCUUCUUAAGUCUGAUGUGAAAGCCCUGGGCUCAACCUGGGAAGUGCAUUGGAAACUGGGAAACUUGAAUACGGGAGAGGGUAGUGGAAUUCCUGGUGUAGGAGUGAAAUCCGUAGAUAUCAGGAGGAACACCGGUGGCGAAGGCGGCUACCUGGACCGAUAUUGACGCUGAGACGCGAAAGCGUGGGGAGCAAACAGGAUUAKAUACCCUGGUAGUCCACGCCGUAAACGAUGAGUACUAGGUGUUGCGGG